GACGAACGCUGGCGGCGUGCUUAACACAUGCCAGUCGAACGGAAAGGCCCUGCUUGCAGGGUGCUCGAGUGGCGAACGGGUGAGUAACACGUGGGUGAUCUGCCCCUUACUUUGGGAUAAGCCUGGGAAACUGGGUCUAAUACUGGAUAGGACCAUGCUGUAGGUGGUGUGGUGGAAAGAUUAGUUUCGGUAAGGGAUGAGCUCGCGGCCUAUCAGCUUGUUGGUGGGGUAAUGGCCUACCAAGGCGUCGACGGGUAGCCGGCCUGAGAGGGUGGACGGCCACAUUGGGACUGAGAUACGGCCCAGACUCCUACGGGAGGCAGCAGUGGGGAAGAUUGCACAAUGGGCGCAAGCCUGAUGCAGCGACGCCGCGUGGGGGAUGACGGCCUUCGGGUUGUAAACUCCUUGCAGCCAUGACGAAGCCCUUGUGGUGACGGUAGUGGUAGAAGAAGCACCGGCUAACUACGUG
rnacentral:rRNA from 1 species